UACGAAGGGAGCUAGCGUUGUUCGGAAUCACUGGGCGUAAAGCGCACGUAGGCGGCUGUGUCAGUCAGGGGUGAAAUCCCGGAGCUCAACUUCGGAACUGCCUUUGAUACAGCACGUCUUGAGUCCGGAAGAGGUGGGUGGAAUUCCUAGUGUAGAGGUGAAAUUCGUAGAUAUCGGGAGGAACACCAGUGGCGAAGGCGGCGAUCUGGGUCGAUACUGACGCUGAGGUGCGAAAGCGUGGGGAGCAAACAGG
rnacentral:rRNA from 1 species